AACGAACGCUGGCGGCAUGCCUAACACAUGCAAGUCGAACGAGACCUUCGGGUCUAUUGGCGCACGGGUUCGUAACGCGUGGGAACCUUCCCUUAGGUUUGGAAUAACUCCCCGAAAGGGGUGCUAAUACCGGAUAAUGUCUUCGGACCAAAGAUUUAUCGCCCUUGGAUGGUCCCUCGUUGGAUUAGCUAGUUGGUAGGGUAAAAGCAUACUAAGGGGACGAUCCAUAGAUUGGUUGUGAGGAAGGUCAGCCACACUGAGACUGAGACACGGCCCAGACUCCUACGGGAGGCGGCAGUGGGGGAUGUAGCACAGUGGGGGAAGGCCUGAUCCAGCACUGCCGCGUGAGUGAUGAAGGCCUUAGGGUUGUAAAGCUCUUUUACCCGGGAUGAUAAUGACGGUACCGAGAGAAUAAGCUCCGGCUAACUACGUG
rnacentral:rRNA from 1 species